GACGAACGCUGGCGGCGUGCUUAACACAUGCAAGUCGAACGGCAAGGCCCUGCUUUUUUGGGGUUCUCGAGUGGCGAACGGGGGAGUAACACGUGAGUAACCUGCCCUUGAUUUUGGGAUAACUUCAGGAAACUGGGGCUAAUACCGGAUAGGAGCUCCUGCUGCAUGGUGGGGGUUGGAAAGUUUCGGCGGUUGGGGAUGGAUUCGCGGCUUAUCAGCUUGUUGGUGGGGUAGUGGCUUACCAAGGCUUUGACGGGUAGCCGGCCUGAGAGGGUGACCGGCCACAUUGGGACUGAGAUACGGCCCAGACUCCUACGGGAGGCAGCAGUGGGGAAUAUUGCACAAUGGGCGGAAGCCUGAUGCAGCAACGCCGCGUGCGGGAUGACGGCCUUCGGGUUGUAAACCGCUUUCGCCUGUGACGAAGCGUGAGUGACGGUAAUGGGUAAAGAAGCACCGGCUAACUACGUG
rnacentral:rRNA from 1 species